rnacentral:rRNA from 1 species
GCCCUUGAGGCGUGGCUUCCGGAGCUAACGCGUUAAGUAGACCGCCUGGGGAGUACGGCCGCAAGGUUAAAACUCAAAUGAAUUGACGGGGGCCCGCACAAGCGGUGGAGCAUGUGGUUUAAUUCGAUGCAACGCGAAGAACCUUACCUGGUCUUGACAUCCACGGAAGAAUCCAGAGAUGGAUUUGUGCCUUCGGGAACCGUGAGACAGGUGCUGCAUGGCUGUCGUCAGCUCGUGUUGUGAAAUGUUGGGUUAAGUCCCGCAACGAGCGCAACCCUUAUCCUUUGUUGCCAGCGGUCCGGCCGGGAACUCAAAGGAGACUGCCAGUGAUAAACUGGAGGAAGGUGGGGAUGACGUCAAGUCAUCAUGGCCCUUACGACCAGGGCUACACACGUGCUACAAUGGCGCAUACAAAGAGAAGCGACCUCGCGAGAGCAAGCGGACCUCAUAAAGUGCGUCGUAGUCCGGAUUGGAGUCUGCAACUC